rnacentral:lncRNA from 1 species
UUUUUUUUGGUUAAUUUUCAAUUUUUUCCCUCUUCAGUGUUCAGAUACUAUGCAAGGAAUCGAGAGGAGACAGCCGAGCUUCAGGCUCUGGAAGGAUGGUUAGUUUGCAAGACGGUGGCAUGCGCGAAGGGUGGCAUGCGCGAAGGGGAUCCGCAUGCCGGCGAAGGGGUUAUCGGUGUUCAGGUGCGACAUUGUAGCAGACGCACGUCGGUGACGUCAACAGCUGACUGCGCUGAGUCACCCCGAAGCGUAAGGUUUCAUAUACCGCUCCUCAAAUGGAUUGAAAUAUGA